GAAUGUGCAUCUCUAACCUGCAAACGAUAAGGUGAUAUGAUGCCAAUAUCGCUUUGACUGAGCCCGCUAUUCAUCAGGCGCGUCACGUGAAGAUAAACGCAUUCGACCUCCACGAGGUUAGCUUUAGAACUCUUUCCGCUCACCUCUCCUGUGGACGAGGAAGAUGAACCACUAUUAUAACUGCUCGAACUACUCAAACUAUCAGCUCGAUUACUACAGAGUUUCAAUAAAGGCAGGUUCCCUUGGGCACAGGGAAUACGAUUAAAGGGAUUGUUGUAAGGAGGAAAAAACACUCGUCAAUGAUGAGCAUGUCGAAUCUCCCUUCCUCUAAGGAAUCCCAUUUCUCAUUUUUGAAGGCGUACUUUCCGAAGUUCACGAGCGUGGAUAGAACGAUAUCGGCGGAGGUGAUAGUUGACCAUUCCGCUUGACUCAAAAGACGUUUGAUUUCCGAUUCGGUUUGAUGACUGUGAUGGCUCAAUACGCCGUUUACUCUCGACGCGUUGCUGUUGGUACCCGCGGUAUUUGUGGAGUUCAAAUUCUUAUAGAAAAACGCUAUUCCUUAACCCUGAAUUCAUAGUGGCGCGAUUGCGAUUUAAACAGCUGACAGUUUUUUUUAUGUCAAGGCAUAAUUAAGGGUUGCCAUAGACAAGAGGGACGUUUGGAAAAAAUUGGAAUAAAUGAAAGCAGUGGAUAUAGUGGCACCGAUGACCAACGACUUUCUUUUGUUCAUAGGCCAUAAUAGAGCCGAUCUUUCAAAUCCCUCAGCAAUUCGAAGGAAUGAGGAUUCGUGUUGCUCGAAGAUGCCGGACAAGAUAAAUGUUGAUCUAAGGUAUAGCAUAUCGGUUUUUUGUUAGCUUUGGUAGUCUUAAUUUUAUCGCUAGAUCUCUUCUCGCCACUCUUCUUGUUCAUCUUUUCGUCGCCCAUCUUCGUUGUCGCGUCUCGUUCCACGAUGGGGUCAUCUUCGGGCCUUUCUUUCCAAAAAAAUUAAGGUGAUUACACUGUGGUUGCUAAGCCCUACCCAGUCCUUAUAGCUGGUUCCUCCCUUUGAUAAGUCUUUUUGUAGGACCCUCGAUUUCCAAGACAAUUCGCAAUCCAAUGAUAGGUGGAAAAGUAAGCUAAAUUAUCUAGUCAUGUACCAAGAUCAUGGAACCAGGGUGGAAAAUCCACAUGGACAAUGGAUCAUCGAUUACCAUCGAUACCAAUGACAAUGAUGGACGAGUCGGAAAAAUUAAAAGAAAUUUCGACAAGGGAAAAAGCAUACCAGUGAGAAGGGAAGAUUAUAUUUAAGCGUAACCGGAAACAAUAUCGUGCGGUAAAAUGGCGUUUUGGGGCGAUGAAUGGAUACGCAAAUCGUCGAGAGCGGAAGCGAGUUUUUGAAUGGGUGUUACCCAAGGUAAGGAUGUAUUAUAUGAGUAAUCAUCACGGUAAAAUGUUGAAUCUCCAAAGGCAAAUUGAACAAUCCUCUUAGAAUGGGGAUGUCUGUAUACUAAUUUAUCACUUGGCUCAUAGAUUAUGUGGGCUAAAGCACUUUUUUAUUAAAUAAUAUCAUGUGAAGAAGUGAAAUGGAAUGUAAUCAAAGGGAAAAACAAGCCAAGGUUCUAUUCACUGACAGUGCCCAUACUCUCCCAUUCCAUGUCCUUGAUUUUGGCUGAUAAUAGUGGCCAAUACCAAAAUAUGACAAUUUACUUAUUGUAUUUGGCAUAAUAUGAAUUAAUAGCAAAUAAAAU